AGAUCACUCAUCGCACGUUGGAUGAUUUGUCACAUCAGCAGCUGAUGUGACAAAUCCUUUGUCACAUCUGUAAAGAUAAGCUACACUCAAUUAAUAGGCUUGCUACAACUGCCAUUCUCUUGAGGCAGUGCAGUAAAAAAAAAAGCAAUUAACCAACUGCAAACAAAAUCAGCUAUGGGGAAUUCCUAUGCCAGAACAGUUUACAACAUGUAGAAGAGCUGUAAACGUGUCCAACCCAACACGCUGCUACAGAUACUUUACAUUAAAAAUAAUAGAAAAGCUUUUUAGUGAAAUAUCUUUCACAUUUUUACCUCCUCUAUGACUGCUGCUCUAUGUCCAAACACAAGGAAGCUGAACAUGUCUCACCAGAGUGAGUCAGCCAAACAUUAGCAGCUCCCCACCUCAGCUGACCCGACAUCUAAUCCCAUAACAAGCUGCCACAAGGCUCUUGACCAAAUGGGCCAAAUGUCCUAUCAAGUCAAAUCUAAGAGUAAAACUUGUGUCUUUUGGCUCAGCGGUGGAUGUUCCCCUGCUGCUUAUCACUCAUAAGGUAUGGUCUGAAGUUUGGUUAUAUGUCACUUCAUUUGAAGAAUGUUGGACGAAAGCAGGUUUUUCAGCAGCACAACAAGGACUAGUGGUGGAUAUCUCAGUGACCAAAUGAUACACUCCAUAAUGCUCUUCUGUUGGAUUAGAUAAUUGUUGCAUGUUGUGGCAAUAAUGGCGCUGUGUUAUCCAUUUGUAAAAUAAAGAUCAGGUUGGAGGAAUAUUACAGCAGAGUGGUAACAAAAGCUCAUUUCGGAGGAUAGUUGAAGGACCCGUGUGAUAAACUUUGUUGAGUGAAGGAUUAGUCCUCUAUUGUCUUUGGAUUUAAGAGGUUUAGUAUUUGCUCUUGGCCAAGGUGCUUGAGAUUACCUUGCUGACCUAAAGUGAAGCACUCUAACAGAAGCUCUGUAGACACAGGAUCCAUCAAAGGCAAGUGGGUCCUCACAUUCUGUAAUAACUGAUAAUGCAUCUCCGGUAGCUUCAUUCA